rnacentral:lncRNA from 1 species
GUCUAACUUCACGAAACAGUAUGCCACUUCAUGUAGAGUGUAGUUGCCUUAUAAUACAAUAUUAUUUCCCAUUCUUCCCUCCUGUCCCUUUUGAUAUUGUUGUCAUUUAUUUUACUGAUCUAUAUGCUGUAAUUACUUAAUACGUUGCUAUCAUUAAACAGUCAUCUAUUAGUCCACUUAAGCAUAAGAAAAAUAAAAUAUCUUGUUUUACCUUAAUUUAUUCUCUCAUUUCUCUCUCUUUCCUUGUAGAUCCAUGUUUCUGAACCACAUCAUUGUCCUUCUGCCUGAAGAACUUCUUUAAACAUUUCUUACUAACUAUGUCUGCAGAGGCAUGAUGGGAUGAUUAUCUGUUGGGGCUCCUGGAGAUAAAGCUCCUGAAUAUUUAGGGGUCUGCCUCAGACCUCAGCCAUCAAGGAGUUUCUCAUGCUCAUGCUAGUCCACACUCAGUCUCCAGCAAUUCACUAAAAUAAUUACUUAAGUGUUCCUACCAGAUGAUGGCUCAAGAAGCUUAAGUUUCAGGUGAUGGAAAAACAAGGAUUCCAAGAACAUGGAGCCAAGGGCUAUGGAAAACAACUGACUGAGGAGCCACUCCCAGGAAGCUAAAUCGGGGCAUUAUCAAGAAAUAUUCAUCCUAAAAAUAGACCCACCAUCCAGUGGGAUUGCAGAAUUGCUAUGUACCAUUCUAGGGUACAUGUGCAUAACGUGCAGGUUUGUUACAUAUGUAUACUUGUGCCAUGUUGCUGUGCUGCACCCAUCAACUCCUCAGCACCCAUCAACUCGUCAUUUACAUCAGGUAUAACUCCCAGUGCAAUCCCUCCCCCCUCCCCCUCCCCAUGAUAGGCCCCGGUGUGUGAUGUUCCCCUUCCCGAGUCCAAGUGAUCUCAUUGUUCAGUUCCCACCUAUGAGUGAGAACAUGCGGUGUUUGGUUUUCUGUUCUUGCGAAAA